GAUGAACGCUGGCGGCGUGCCUAAUACAUGCAAGUCGAGCGAACAGACGAGGAGCUUUCUCCUCUGACGUUAGCGGCGGGAGGGAGAGUAACAAGUGGAUCAGCUACCUAUAAGACUGGGAGAAAUUCGGGAAAUAGGAGCUAAUACCAGCUACUAUAUUGAACCGCAUGGUUCAAUAGUGAAAGACGGCUUUGCGGUCACUUACAGAUGGAUCCGCGCCGCAUUAGAUAGUUGGUAAGGCAAAGGCUUUCCAAGGCAACGAUGUGUAGCAGGCCUGAGAGGGUGAUCGGCCACACUGGAACGGAGACACGGUCCAGACUCCUACGGGAGGCAGCAGUGGGGAAUUUUCGGCAAUGGGCGAAAGCCUGACGGAGCAACGCCGCGUGAGUGAUGAAGGCCUUCGGGUUGUAAAACGCUGUUAUUAGGGAAGAACAAAUUUGUAAUAAACUAGGCACGUCUUGACGGUACCUUAUCAGAAAGCCACGGCUAACUACGUG
rnacentral:rRNA from 1 species